rnacentral:rRNA from 1 species
UGGGGAAUAUUGGACAAUGGGCGAAAGCCUGAUCCAGCAACGCCGCGUGGAGGAAGAAGGUCUUCGGAUCGUAAACUCCUGUCAGAUGGGACGAAAAGACGGCGGUGAAUAGCCGACCGUCGCUGACGGUACCAUCAGAGGAAGCCCCGGCUAACUCCGUGCCAGCAGCCGCGGUAAUACGGAGGGGGCUAGCGUUAUUCGGAAUUAUUGGGCGUAAAGCGCGCGUAGGCGGCCAGGUAAGUCAUGGGUGAAAUCCCUCGGCUCAACCGAGGAAUUGCCUUUGAAACUACCUGGCUCGAGGCCGGGAGGGGGUAGCGGAAUUCCCAGUGUAGCGGUGAAAUGCGUAGAUAUUGGGAGGAACACCGGUGGCGAAGGCGGCUACCUGGACCGGUUCUGACGCUGAUGCGCGAAAGCGUGGGGAGCAA